GCGGGGGUGCCCGAGCUGGUCAAAGGGGGCGGACUCAAGACCCCUUAAGUGAGAGAUCCGCUGGCGAAGGCCUUCGCGGGUUCAAAUCCCGUCCCCCGCA
rnacentral:tRNA from 3 species